CCUAAAUUACUUUAGCUAAAUAAAGCAGUUUUAGUGUAUAGAUCAUUCCCCUGCAAUUUCACUGCUCAGUUCACUGUCAUUUAGGAGUUAAAUCACUUUGUUUCUGUUUAUGCAGCCAUAGCCACACCUCCCCUGGCUAUGACUGACAGAGCCUGCAUGAAACAAAAACUGGUUUCACUUUCAAACAGAUGUAAUUUACCUUAAAUAAUUGUAUCUCAAUCUCUAAAUUGAACUUUAAUCACAUACAGGAGGCUCUUGCAGGGUCUAGCAAGCUAUUAACAUAG